GAUGAACGCUGGCGGCGUGCCUAACACAUGCAAGUCGAGCGAACAGACGAGGAGCUUGCUCCUCUGACGUUAGCGGCGGACGGGUGAGUAACACGUGGAUAACCUACCUAUAAGACUGGGAUAACUUCGGGAAACCGGAGCUAAUACCGGAUAAUAUAUUGAACCGCAUGGUUCAAUAGUGAAAGACGGUUUUGCUGUCACUUAUAGAUGGAUCCGCGCCGCAUUAGCUAGUUGGUAAGGUAACGGCUUACCAAGGCAACGAUGCGUAGCCGACCUGAGAGGGUGAUCGGCCACACUGGAACUGAGACACGGUCCAGACUCCUACGGGAGGCAGCAGUAGGGAAUCUUCCGCAAUGGGCGAAAGCUUGACGGAGCAACGCCGCGUGAGUGAUGAAGGUCUUCGGAUCGUAAAGCUCUGUUAUUAGGGAAGAACAAAUGUGUAAGUAACUAUGCACGUCUUGACGGUACCUAAUCAGAAAGCCACGGCUAACUACGUG
rnacentral:rRNA from 1 species